GUACAUUAACGUGCAGUACACACAUUAAAAUUAGACCAAUACAGAAAAGAUUAGCAUGGCCCCUGCUCAAGGAUGACACGCAGAUUCGUGAAGUGUUCCAUAUUUUU